UCAGGUCAUAGAGGUGAAUGUAAAGCAAAGGACAGGUAAAGGUAACGUUGUAAGCUGUAUGAGAAAGUCUUUGCAAGAACAUUAUGGAGACAAACCUGUGGGAAUGGGAGGAACAUUUAUUACACAAGAUGGAAACGCAAAGCUCCAUAUAAUGAGAUGAGGAUGUGUAUCAUUGGUUGAACGUUUAUGAUAUGAAGGCUCGUCUGAUUUGCCAGUCCGUGUUUGUUUCUCAUGACCCUGGCUUUGACCUGCGGGUGAAACACACUCAUUGUUUCAGUCAUCAUGGAGAAAGAGGACACUACCAUAAUGACACAAUCCCAGAUUCUGUGCACUACUGUAUCUUGGCUAUUUCCAUCCGGCAGAGUAUCUAUACCGCAUUGACAAACCAUCUGUUACACACAUGGUUGGGUGAGAUUAGGUUGAGCUUCAUCUUUCCACAACCUUAAAAGAGAAAACAUAUCAUUAUAUAUAAUCAUUUUGGUAUGAAGUAAUAAAUAUGUAUUAAACCUAGGCAAGCUUUGGUGGGAUAUUACUAUGUAUUGAU